GCUCCAGUGGCCGAGUGGCUGAGGCUCCAGCCUUCCAAGCUGGCGACAGGGGUUCGAUUCCCCUCUGGAGUU
rnacentral:tRNA from 1 species